rnacentral:misc_RNA from 1 species
GAUGAAGAACGCAGCGAAAUGCGAUAAGUAGUGUGAAUUGCAGAAUUCAGUGAAUCAUCGAAUCUUUGAACGCACAUUGCGCCCUAUAGUAUUCUGUAGGGCAUGCAUGUUCGAGCGUCAUUUGUACCUUCAAGCUUCUUGGUGUUGGGUGUUUGUCCUCUCCCUGGUGUUUGGACUCGCCUUAAAACAAUUGGCAGCCAGUGUUUUGGUAUUGAAGCGCAGCACAAUUUGCGAUUCUGGCCUUAAAAUACUAGCGUCCAUAAGUACAUUCUCACUUUUGACCUCGGAUCAUGUAGGGAUACCCGCUGAACUUAAGCAUAUCAAUAAGCGGAGGA